rnacentral:misc_RNA from 2 species
AGCAGCCGCGGUAAUUCCAGCUCCAAUAGCGUAUAUUAAAGUUGUUGCAGUUAAAAAGCUCGUAGUUGAACCUUAGGCCCGUGUGGGCGGUCCGUCCUCAGGGCGAGCACUGCUCCGUCGCGGGUCUCACCUUCUGGCGAGCGUGGAUGCCAUUUAUUUGGUGUCCGCGGGAACCAGGACCUUUACCUUGAAAAAUUAGAGUGCUCAAAGCGGGCUCCGACGCUUGAAUACAUUAGCAUGGAAUAAUGAAAUAGGACGAUGGUUCUAUUUUGUUGGUUUCCGGGACCGUCGUAAUGAUUAAUAGGGAUAGUUGGGGGCAUUCGUAUUCAAUUGUCAGAGGUGAAAUUCUUGGAUUUAUUGAAGACGAACUACUGCGAAAGCAUUUGCCGAGGAUGUUUUCAUUAAUCAAGAACGAAAGUUGGGGGAUCGAAGACAAUCAGAUACCGUCGUAGUCUCAACCAUAAACUAUGCCGACUGGGAAUCGGGCGAUGUUACCUUUACGACUCGCUCGGCGCCCCGA